rnacentral:rRNA from 1 species
AGAGUUUGAUCCUGGCUCAGGACGAACGCUGGCGGCGUGCUUAACACAUGCAAGUCGAGCGGUAAGGCCUUUCGGGGUACACGAGCGGCGAACGGGUGAGUAACACGUGGGUGAUCUGCCCUGCACUUCGGGAUAAGCCUGGGAAACUGGGUCUAAUACCGGAUAUGACCUCCUAUCGCAUGGUGGGUGGUGGAAAGAUUUAUCGGUGCAGGAUGGGCCCGCGGCCUAUCAGCUUGUUGGUGGGGUAAUGGCCUACCAAGGCGACGACGGGUAGCCGACCUGAGAGGGUGACCGGCCACACUGGGACUGAGACACGGCCCAGACUCCUACGGGAGGCAGCAGUGGGGAAUAUUGCACAAUGGGCGAAAGCCUGAUGCAGCGACGCCGCGUGAGGGAUGACGGCCUUCGGGUUGUAAACCUCUUUCAGCAGGGACGAAGCGCAAGUGACGGUACCUGCAGAAGAAGCACCGGCUAACUACGUGCCAGCAGCCGCGGUAAUACGUAGGGUGCAAGCGUUGUCCGGAAUUACUGGGCGUAAAGAGUUCGUAGGCGGUUUGUCGCGUCGUUUGUGAAAACCAGCAGCUCAACUGCUGGCUUGCAGGCGAUACGGGCAGACUUGAGUACUGCAGGGGAGACUGGAAUUCCUGGUGUAGCGGUGAAAUGCGCAGAUAUCAGGAGGAACACCGGUGGCGAAGGCGGGUCUCUGGGCAGUAACUGACGCUGAGGAACGAAAGCGUGGGUAGCGAACAGGAUUAGAUACCCUGGUAGUCCACGCCGUAAACGGUGGGCGCUAGGUGUGGGUUCCUUCCACGGAAUCCGUGCCGUA